rnacentral:rRNA from 1 species
CCUANGGGGGGCUGCAGUGGGGAAUAUUGGACAAUGGGGGCAACCCUGAUCCAGCAAUGCCGCGUGUGUGAAGAAGGCCUGCGGGUCGUAAAGCACUUUUGGCAGGGAUGAAGGGCGCUGGCUUAACACGCCAGCGCAUUGACCUAACCUGCAGAAGAAGCACCGGCUAACUCUGUGCCAGCAGCCGCGGUAAUACAGAGGGUGCGAGCGUUAAUCGGAAUUACUGGGCGUAAAGCGCGCGUAGGCGGUCGAGUAAGUCGGAUGUGAAAUCCCCGGGCUUAACCUGGGAAUUGCAUUCGAUACUGCUUGGCUAGAGUGUGGAAGAGGGAAGCGGAAUUUCCGGUGUAGCGGUGAAAUGCGUAGAUAUCGGAAGGAACACCAGUGGCGAAGGCGGCUUCCUGGUCCAACACUGACGCUGAGGCGCGAAAGCGUGGGGAGCAAACAGGAUUAGAUACCCCUNUANUC